UGACCUCGGAUCAGGUAGGGAUACCCGCUGAACUUAAGCAUAUCAAUAAGCGGAGGAAAAGAAACCAACCGGGAUUGCCUCAGUAACGGCGAGUGAAGCGGCAAGAGCUCAAAUUUGAAAGCUGGCUCCUUCGGAGUCCGCAUUGUAAUUUGCAGAGGAUGCUUUGGGUGCGGCCCCCGUCUAAGUGCCCUGGAACGGGCCGUCAGAGAGGGUGAGAAUCCCGUCUUGGGCGGGGUGUCCGUGCCCGUGUAAAGCUCCUUCGACGAGUCGAGUUGUUUGGGAAUGCAGCUCUAAAUGGGUGGUAAAUUUCAUCUAAAGCUAAAUACUGGCCGGAGACCGAUAGCGCACAAGUAGAGUGAUCGAAAGAUGAAAAGCACUUUGAAAAGAGAGUUAAACAGCACGUGAAAUUGUUGAAAGGGAAGCGCUUGCGACCAGACUCGCCCGCGGGGUUCAGCCGGCAUUCGUGCCGGUGUACUUCCCCGUGGGCGGGCCAGCGUCGGUUUGGGCGGCCGGUCAAAGGCCCCUGGAAUGUAGUACCCUCCGGGGUACCUUAUAGCCAGGGGUGCAAUGCGGCCAGCCUGGACCGAGGAACGCGCUUCGGCACGGACGCUGGCAUAAUGGUCGUAAACGACC
rnacentral:rRNA from 1 species